rnacentral:rRNA from 1 species
GACCUCAAAUCAGGUAAGAAUACCCGCUGAACUUAAGCAUAUCAAUAAGCGGAGGAAAAGAAAAUAACAAUGAUUCCCUCAGUAACGGCGAGCGAAGAGGGAUAAGCUCAAAUUUUAAAUCUGUUGGGUUUCAACCUAACAGAGUUGUAUUUUGAAGAAACGUUUUCUGCGUCCAGGAUUAGCCUAAAUCCUUUGGGAUAAGGUAUCAUGGAGGGUGAGAAUCCCGUUCAUGGUUAAUCUUAAGGAUGCUCUACGAUACGUUCUCCAAGAGUCGAGUUGUUUGGGAUUGCAGCUCAAAAUGGGAGGUAAAUUUCUCCUAAGGCUAAAUAUUGGCGAGAGACCGAUAGCGAACAAGUACCGUGAGGGAAAGAUGAAAAGAACUUUGAAAAGAGAGUUAAACAGUACGUGAAAUUGUUGAAAGGGAAACGAUUGAAGUCAGUCAUACCAACGGGAAAUCAACCUUUUGAGUUCGUUCUUGUGGGUUUCGAGGAGUUUAAAAGCCUUCUGAUUUGCUAGGAUUGGGCUCUUUUGGUGUACUUUCUCGUACGGUUAGUCAACAUCGGUUUUGAAUGUCAUAAAAUGAUUGGAGGAAUGUGGCUUCGAUCUCGUAUCGAAGUGUUAUAACCUUUGGUAGAUGUGAUGUUCGAGACCGAGGAUUGCAACGGAUACCUUCCAGGCUAUUCGUCUGAUCUCUGAUACGUUGCCUUGAUGUCGAAAGCGUGCUUAUGAUGUUAGGGUAUUACGGUCAAAAGGUUAGAACGGAUUAAAUUCGUUAAGGAUGUUGACGUAAUGACUUUAAACGACCCGUCUUGAAACACGGACCAAGGAG